rnacentral:rRNA from 1 species
UACGUAGGGUGCAAGCGUUGUCCGGAAUUAUUGGGCGUAAAGAGCUCGUAGGCGGUUUGUCGCGUCGGCUGUGAAAACUCGGGGCUCAACCCCGAGCCUGCAGUCGAUACGGGCAGACUAGAGUGCGGUAGGGGAGACUGGAAUUCCUGGUGUAGCGGUGAAAUGCGCAGAUAUCAGGAAGAACACCGGUGGCGAAGGCGGCUCUCUGGGCCUUACCUGACGCUGAGGAGCGAAAGCGUGGGUAGCGAACAGG